rnacentral:rRNA from 1 species
CCUACGGGUGGUAGCAGUGAGGAAUAUUGGUCAAUGGGCGCGAGCCUGAACCAGCCAAGUCGCGUGAGGGAUGAAGGUUCUAUGGAUCGUAAACCUCUUUUAUAAGGGAAUCAAGUGUGGGCCGUGUCCUAUUUUGUAUGUACCUUAUGAAUAAGGAUCGGCUAACUCCGUGCCAGCAGCCGCGGUAAUACGGAGGAUCCGAGCGUUAUCCGGAUUUAUUGGGUUUAAAGGGUGCGUAGGCGGCCUUUUAAGUCAGCGGUGAAAGUCUGUGGCUCAACCAUAGAAUUGCCGUUGAAACUGGGGGGCUUGAGUAUGUGUGAGGCAGGCGGAAUGCGUGGGGUAGCGGGGAAAUGCUUAGAUAUCACGCAGAACCCCGAUUGCGAAGGCAGCCGGCCAAGCCAUGACUGACGCUGAUGCACGAAAGCGUGGGGAUCAAACAGGAUUAGAUACCCCGGUAGUC